GUGUGCACGUGCGCGGGAGGACUGGCCCCCAGAGCCAGGGGACUCCCUCCCCCGCGCCUCUGCUCUCCAGGCCCCGCUCCUGAGCCUUCCCCUUCUCUCCUUCAGGAUGAAUCGCAGAUGGUGGAGGGCUGGUGACCGGGGCCUUGGCGCUUGGGUCGCCAGCCUUCAAUGCACAAGGGGAGUGAGGCCCUUUGGGGCAGAGAGGAGGCGGCCUUCCCAGCCCACCCUGCCUGCCGCACCUCUGCAGCUCCUGGGACACCAGCCCCGAGGAGCAGGUGGGGACGGCAGGUGCACACCGCGGGCUCCGGUGCCCCCCGGACGGUGGGUGAGCAGGACAAGCAGAACAGCAGAUGGACACACUCAGGCUUAUGCCCAAAGCUCAGACGCACAGAAGACCCGCUGUCUGAUCUUGCAGCUGUGAAUUCUCGGUCAGGGUUCUAUGGAUGUUCGCUGUUACCAUGAAACUCUGGGCACAGGAAGACAUUGUCACCAUUUUUCUCUGAGUACCGUUUUUCAGGAUAGGUGUGGGGAGGGUUCUGGUCCACAUGGAUCCCAGACAACCAUGUCCCUGCCCCACUUCCACGCACACCCUCAGGUGACCGGUUGACUGCCUGGAUCAGUUACUUGCAGCCAGGCCAUCCUUAGUGGAGAGAAGCGUCGAGCACAGGGGUGCCGAGACCCGUGGCAAGCCCUCGUCGAUUCUGAAUGCUUGGUCACCCGCUCCGUGCUGGUCCAGCGUAUGGCACAGGGACUCACUGGUGAGUCAGACUGUCUGGCUCCCCUGAGCUGGCUCACAGGCUGCUGGAAGAUCCCGGCACAACCGGGGCCCAGACACAGAUGGGUGGUGGCAGCC
rnacentral:lncRNA from 1 species